rnacentral:rRNA from 1 species
GAGUUUGAUCCUGGCUCAGGAUGAACGCUGGCGGCGUGCUUAACACAUGCAAGUCGAGCGAAGCACCUUGACGGAUUUCUUCGGAUUGAAGCCUUGGUGACUGAGCGGCGGACGGGUGAGUAACGCGUGGGUAACCUGCCUCAUACAGGGGGAUAACAGUUGGAAACGGCUGCUAAUACCGCAUAAGCCCACGGCUCGGCAUCGAGCAGAGGGAAAAGGAGCAAUCCGCUUUGAGAUGGCCUCGCGUCCGAUUAGCUAGUUGGUGAGGUAACGGCCCACCAAGGCAACGAUCCAUAGCCGGCCUGAGAGGUUGAACGGCCACAUUGGGACUGAGACACGGCCCAGACUCCUACGGGAGGCAGCAGUGGGGAAUAUUGCACAAUGGGGGAAACCCUGAUGCAGCAACGCCGCGUGAGUGAAGAAGUAUUUCGGUAUGUAAAGCUCUAUCAGCAGGGAAGAAAAUGACGGUACCUGACUAAGAAGCCCCGGCUAACUACGUGCCAGCAGCCGCGGUAAUAC